rnacentral:rRNA from 1 species
AGAGUUUGAUCCUGGCUCAGGACGAACGCUGGCGGCGUGCUUAACACAUGCAAGUCGAACGAGAAUCUACUGAAAGAGUUUUCGGACGAUGGAAGUAGAGGAAAGUGGCGGACGGGUGAGUAACGCGUGAGGAACCUGCCUUGAAGAGGGGGACAACAGUUGGAAACGACUGCUAAUACCGCAUGACGCAUAGAGGUCGCAUGAUCUUUAUGCCAAAGAUUUAUCGCUUCAAGAUGGCCUCGCGUCUGAUUAGCUAGUUGGCGGGGUAACGGCCCACCAAGGCGACGAUCAGUAGCCGGACUGAGAGGUUGAACGGCCACAUUGGGACUGAGAUACGGCCCAGACUCCUACGGGAGGCAGCAGUGGGGAAUAUUGGGCAAUGGGCGCAAGCCUGACCCAGCAACGCCGCGUGAAGGAAGAAGGCUUUCGGGUUGUAAACUUCUUUUAAGAGGGAAGAGCAGAAGACGGUACCUCUAGAAUAAGCCACGGCUAACUACGUGCCAGCAGCCGCGGUAAUACGUAGGUGGCAAGCGUUGUCCGGAUUUACUGGGUGUAAAGGGCGUGCAGCCGGGUCUGCAAGUCAGAUGUGAAAUCCAUGGGCUCAACCCAUGAACUGCAUUUGAAACUGUAGAUCUUGAGUGUCGGAGGGGCAAUCGGAAUUCCUAGUGUAGCGGUGAAAUGCGUAGAUAUUAGGAGGAACACCAGUGGCGAAGGCGGAUUGCUGGACGAUAACUGACGGUGAGGCGCGAAAGUGUGGGGAGCAAACAGGAUUAGAUACCCUGGUAGUCCACACUGUAAACG